rnacentral:tRNA from 1 species
UGAGGAGUAGUUCAGCUGGUAGAACGCCUGACUCUGGAUCAGGAAGUCGGAGGUUCGAGCCCUCCCUCCUCAGCCA